AUACGUAGGGAGCGAGCGUUGUCCGGAAUUACUGGGCGUAAAGGGCGCGUAGGCGGCGCUUCAAGUCGUCUGUCAAAUGGGAGGGCUUAACCCUUUUUCGCAGACGAAACUGGAGAGCUUGAGAAGCAGAGAGGCAAACAGAAUUCCUGGUGUAGCGGUGAAAUGCGUAGAUAUCAGGAAGAAUACCAGUGGCGAAGACGGUUUGCUGGCUGCAUACUGACGCUGAAGCGCGAAAGCCAGGGGAGCAAACGGGAUUAGAUACCCCGGUAGUCCUGGCAGUAAACGAUGUAUGCUGGGUGUGAGACUAGCGAUAGUUUCGUGCCGAAGUUAACGCGAUAAGCAUACCGCCUGGGGAGUACGGUCGCAAGAUUGAAACUCAAAUGAAUUGACGGGG
rnacentral:rRNA from 1 species